AUGGCAAGCCAAGCGUUUAGAAAGUUUCUUCCACUCCUUGACCGAGUUUUGGUUGAAAGGCGUGCUGCUGAAACUGUAACCAAAGGAGGCAUUAUGCUUCCAGAAAAAUCUCAAGGAAAAUUAUUGCAAGCAAGAGUAGUCGCUGUUGGAUGGGGUUCUAUGGAAAGGGUAGAGAGAUUCAACCAGUUAGCGUGAAAGUUGGAGAUAAAGUUCUUCUCCCAGAAUAUGGAGGCACCAAAGUAGUUCUAGAUGACAAGGAUUAUUUCCUAUUUAGAGAUGGUGACAUUCUUAGAAAGUACGUAGACUGA
rnacentral:lncRNA from 1 species